AGCUUAUAUAUACACACGUUUCUUUUCAGGAAACUCGUCGAUAGUCGAAAUCUCGACGAUUAUUAAUAGUAAUUUUCUCUCUCGAUAUGUAGGGGUGUCCCGUCGAAAAGUCCAACCCUGACGCAUAGCCCGACCAUGUACGGUGAUGCAUUAAACGCCAAUCUCCAGUAUUUCCAGGCGGCACUCGGGGACUCUAAUAUGGGAUUUCUAAACAACUCGAUGUGCACGUCGACGACAACGAGUCCCGACAAGGAGCACGUGUUAGCCCAUAACGAUUUAAUGUGAGUAAAACACUCUGUAGCGUGCCAUAUAUAUAUAUAUAUAUUUAAUCCAUGUUACAUGUUUCCCAAAAUACUUGGCAAUGUUAUAUACCUACGCAAAUCUUUAAGUACACGCUACUCCCGAUCAUAAAUCACCAGACACUUGUUAGUCUUAAACAAAAUGUUUAUUGCGACAGGUUUAUAACAGAACUUGAGACGUGCUCAUCUUUUGCAGUUUGCUUGUUUUACGCCUAUCCUUAGUUGAUUUAAAACAUCAUUAUCUCGGAUUAAGAUAUAUCGUAAAAGAUGCAUCACGCGUUAAUGAUUGAAACGUGAUUUUUUAUUUUGUAAUUGUAAUCCGAAUACGAAGACGGCCGAAUGAAUCAUUCGCCGCGAACAAUUAAACAAAAAAAAAA